rnacentral:SRP_RNA from 1 species
CCAUGCUACAUGGGGAGGUAGCGGUUCCCUGUUACUCGCAGUCCGCUAUAGCGAGAUGGAAUUCCUGCGGGAGGGCUGCGUGUGUGGAGCAGUAUUACGUCAUUCUAUGCUGAGGUUUUGGUCCCACGCAACGGAGUACUCCGAACCGUGUCAGGUCUUGACGGAAGCAGCACUAAGGUUUACGCUUCGUGUGCCGUGGGUUCGCCUGAACUGAGUAGAGGGCUUGAUGAACGUCCGGACGCGUAAUCUCGAUCAAAGGUGCAUGG